rnacentral:lncRNA from 1 species
AGCAUCCAGAUUACCCUUCGAAGACGGCAAAGAAAAAGAGAGCUCUGAAAUCACUCAACGCAUAGGAGCUGGUUCUAUAAUUUUUAGACUUUAAUUAAAUCAAUUAUUAAAGCCUUUCUUAAUGCCUUGCUGAGAUAUUCAGGCUCGGGCUGCCUCAGGAGAGAGGAAGUGGUUGAAUGCACAGAGGUGGCUAAUAAGAGGGGACACAACAUUCCAGAAUCCCACAGGAAAGAUUCUACCAUCUCCACAGCUGCCCUCGCCGCAGUCCUCCCUACUGUUGGAGAAGAUGCCCCCAAUAACUGGGGUGUCUCGAGCUAGUGGACACAUCAUGGAGCUGGGUGAGGCCAGAGGACCUUCCUAGAAAAGGGAAUAUUUCUCUCUCUCUCUUAGUGAUCUGCCUGGGUCAGGAGUUUGGGAUCACUGGCAAGUUGAACAGGUCCUGUGGAUCUUUUCUAGCCUCUGUGUGCCCUAGAGAAGGAGGGCUGGCUCACAUCUCCCUGUGGCCGUAUUCAGAAAUAACUGGGGAAUAGAACACAGUGUAUUGGCUCGUACAGAGUCCACGGUGAGGGGCCGUGGCCAUACCUGCUGCCUUGUUGACCUUGGUUUGCAGAGUGGACUGUGUCAUUAAGAUCCUCCCAUGGCCUCAUCCUGUGCUGGCCAUCGCUAUGCGUCCAGUAAGGAGGUAGAACACUGGAUGAGCCACAGAAAGCACACAGGACUUUGCUGUGGAAGAGUCAAAGAUCCACGUGGGAGCAUCCCGUAGGGGACUUGCGUUUCAGAUCAGAUGAUGCUUUUCAUGUAUGUCCAGCAGCAAGAGAGUCCUUCACUGGUGAAAAAUCACGGGCCUCAGAGCAGAUUUUAGUUCAUCUUUCAUUUCAAAGCACUCCUUAGAUAUCUGCAAAUUAAAUCCCCUAAUUUGGUGAGGACGCCCAGCUUCCCAAAUAACAAGGCUUUUCCUUUGAUUCUAACCAAGUGAGCCGGCCCUGCAAAAGCCGGGGUGCGUGUUCUGGCUCCAGGCUUCUGAGCAGCCUUUCUCCCCACGCUGCAGCUUUUCAGUUAGGAAGUCAGAGAGAAGGAAAGAGAACUAUUUCCAAUUCAAUCACGAGCAUGUCUACGCACCACUGAAGACAGACCUUUGUCCUGUUGCUUUCCAAACUUUAAAUGUGAAUUUUUCUUCUUAUGAUGACUGGUGUACUCUGUUAUUCUGAAAAAAGAAAAAGCCAUAAGCACCCUGAAGUGAGGCUUUCACCUGAUACUAAUUUUCUUCUUCGUUAUAAGGCU